UGAAUAUUCCUGAGAAGAGCCGGGUGAUACCGUUCUGUAUCCGAAGGCAAAAGCUUGUACAUCACAAGCAACCCAAGCGUGAAAAUCGCUUGAAGCUUCGUGGAAUCUCCUUUGACAGAGAAGAAAAACAGCAUGGAGACGAUGUACAGGUCGAUGCAGAACCGCAUGAUGCACAAAACCGUGUCCAUCAGCUUCCCUUCGUUCCCUGCAGGGAAGCCGCGGACUCUGUACACGUAUAGGAAGUUGUAUUUGUCGACAAUGUAUCUGUAACCAAAGUAAACCGCGCCUACAGGGACCACGAGUGGAGCGAAUGAAGAGUAUAUCAUUGUCAAGGCAAAGAUGGUGAGGUUGAAGGCAUAGUAUUGUGCAAAGUCGAACUUUUGCUUUGGGAUUGGUGAGGUUCGGCUGAUUGGGUACUCAGCAAGGUCUUGGCUCAUAGGUUCAACGUCGCCGAAUCUUGGAGACUCGAACAUGUUUUCAGGGAGAAGCGGCGUCUCAAGGUUGCUUUGAUUUUCCAAAGGGUACUCUUCGUUUUGCUCGGGGACUAGCUGAAGCAUAUCGUUCUUCCUGAACUUCUGGAUUUUUUUCUUGAUCCAAGGGAUUGGAGCGAGUAGAUCAAAGGAGAUUCCCAAGAACGUGCUUGUGAUGAGGAACGCUAGAGCGGAAACGCAUGACCUUGAUAAGAAGGAAGGGCUCACGUAUUCUUCAAUCCUCUUGCAAUCCUCGCCGUCUAAGUAGCAGCGGCUCAUUUUCAAGAACGCGCUUUCAAGCGACGACUCGACGAGAGCCUUUAGCACGAUGAGGUUCACGAGGAAGAAGCAAACCAUCACAAGAUGUAAAGUGAAGAGAUACUAACUGCUACUAAACCGAAUGUGACACUCUGGAUUCUUAUAUUCGGUUGUUAAGUGCAUAACAUCUCCAUAAGAAAGACACCAUGUAGAGGCAAUUGCUAAUUUUUGUUUCUUCUGACCUCUUAAGAGUCUUAAUCACAUUUAAACAGAAAAAAAAAAUCCCGUUUAUAAAUUGCAAGAGAUAGUGACUGCAACAAACAUAAUUCUCUCAAAAGAUGGAUUAUACACAAAAAGGGAUAUACAAACUUACAAAGAGAAGAAUCCGUAACUUCGAGAAACAGAUUCCAAAACUCGAUAUGGUGGUCAAAGACCAAAACUAAUAAGUCAUAAGGUUACAGAAACAUCAUCUGUUGUAAGUGUCCCAAUCAAAGUUGGGUUGAGAAUAAGCUUCGUAAUCAACUGGCCCGUCGACGAUGCUAUCGACGGUCUGAAUAUUCCUGAGAAGAGCCGGGUGAUACCGUUCUGUAUCCGAAGGCAAAAGCUUGUACAUCACAAGCAACCCAAGCGUGAAAAUCGCUUGAAGCUUCGUGGAAUCUCCUUUGACAGAGAAGAAAAACAGCAUGGAGACGAUGUACAGGUCGAUGCAGAACCGCAUGAUGCACAAAACCGUGUCCAUCAGCUUCCCUUCGUUCCCUGCAGGGAAGCCGCGGACUCUGUACACGUAUAGGAAGUUGUAUUUGUCGACAAUGUAUCUGUAACCAAAGUAAACCGCGCCUACA
rnacentral:lncRNA from 1 species